CCUACGGGAGGCAGCAGUGGGGAAUAUUGGGCAAUGGAGGAAACUCUGACCCAGCGACGCCGCGUGCGGGAUGAAGGCCUUCGGGUUGUAAACCGCUUUCAGUAGGGAAGAAGCGAAAGUGACGGUACCUACAGAAGAAGCACCGGCUAACUAUGUGCCAGCAGCCGCGGUAAUACAUAGGGUGCAAGCGUUGUCCGGAAUUAUUGGGCGUAAAGAGCUCGUAGGUGGUUCGUCACGUCGGAUGUGAAAAUCUGGGGCUCAACCCCAGACCUGCAUUCGAUACGGGCGAUCUAGAGUGUGGUAGGGGAGACUGGAAUUCCUGGUGUAGCGGUGGAAUGCGCAGAUAUCAGGAGGAACACCAAUGGCGAAGGCAGGUCUCUGGGCCAUUACUGACACUGAGGAGCGAAAGCGUGGGGAGCGAACAGGAUUAGAUACCCUGGUAGUCCACGCCGUAAACGGUGGGCACUAGUUGUGGGAACCUUCCACGGUUUCUGCGACGCAGCUAACGCAUUAAGUGCCCCGCCUGGGGAGUACGAUCGCAAGAUUAAAACUCAAAAGGAAAUUGACGGCUGAGACGUGCGAAGGACGACGACGAGGGAGGAGG
rnacentral:rRNA from 1 species